rnacentral:rRNA from 1 species
UACGGGGGGGGCAAGCGUUGUUCGGAAUUACUGGGCGUAAAGGGCUCGUAGGCGGCCAACUAAGUCAGACGUGAAAUCCCUCGGCUUAACCGGGGAACUGCGUCUGAUACUGGAUGGCUUGAAUCCGGGAGAGGGAUGCGGAAUUCCUGGUGUAGAGGUGAAAUUCGUAGAUAUCAGGAGGAACACCAGUGGCGAAGGCGGCUUUCUGGACGGUAACUGACGCUGAGACGCGAAAGCGUGGGGAGCAAACGGG